rnacentral:lncRNA from 1 species
CCGAACUAGAGGUUACCAAUAACUGUGGCAUCACUCUAUUACAGUGAGCAAGAAACUGAUACUCCUUUAUCUCGGUUUCUGUCGCUGUCCUGCAAAGGAAAGUUAAAGCAUUCAUGACACUCCAGAAUUCCUGUGUAUUCUGGCCUGGCCUCACAGCCCUAACUUGUUCCCACCCAUAACUUAGAAGGUUGCUCGGCCCCUGCAGUGACUUCUAGGAGUGAGUGGAGUGACUAGACCUAGUCACCUAGGACCUAGACUCCUAGAUCUAGUCCAGUAGUGACUAGGAGUACCCAGACCCUGGAGUGACUAACUGAUGGGCUUGAAAAAAGUAAACGGGUAAUGGGUACCAGAUAGAACAUGGUAGUUGCCAAGGUAUGCAGUGUAGUUGAUGCAGCUACUCUUGACUUUGAUUUCCAUCUGCCACAGGACAAGAAGGGAGUAUGGGAAUAGUUAUUCUCUAAUGGCUUGAUUACAGUUUUGUACUGCACACUCUUGAAUAAUAACUUGGACCCAGAAUUCAAAUGGAAGGCCUUCAGCUCAAAUUUGAAAAGCUUUGCUCAUACCCAGGGGUGAUGGGGGUAUGUCUGUAAUGGCAAAGAAGCAGGCCAAGAGUUCUGAGAAUCAUAGGGAUAUCGUCAAUAUUACGGAUUUGGCAGAAAUCUAAGAGAAUGAACUGUUUAUUAUGCCAUGUCAAUUAAUAUGCUGAGAACUCUCAAGUUCAUGUAAUUGAGUAUAAUUGUGAUAAUUAGAGCAUG